rnacentral:rRNA from 1 species
CAAUAGCGUAUAUUAAAGUUGUUGCAGUUAAAAAGCUCGUAGUUGGAUUUCUGGCAGGAGCGACCGGUCACACACUCUGUGUGUGAACUUGUGUUGUCUCUGGCCAUCCUUGGGGAGAUCCUGUUUGGCAUUAAGUUGUCGGGCAGGGGAUACCCAUCGUUUACUGUGAAAAAAUUAGAGUGUUUAAAGCAGGCUUAUGCCGUUGAAUAUAUUAGCAUGGAAUAAUAAGAUAGGACUUCGGAACUAUUUUGUUGGUUUGCGUUACGAAGUAAUGAUUAAUAGGGACAGUUGGGGGUAUUCGUAUUUCGUUGUCAGAGGUGAAAUUCUUGGAUUUCCGAAAGACGAACUACUGCGAAAGCAUUUACCAAGGAUGUUUNCAUUA